GGCGGCGUGCCUAAUACAUGCAAGUAGAACGCUGAAGAGAGGAGCUUGCUCUUCUUGGAUGAGUUGCGAACGGGUGAGUAACGCGUAGGUAACCUGCCUGGUAGCGGGGGAUAACUAUUGGAAACGAUAGCUAAUACCGCAUAAUAGCAGUUAUUGCAUGAUAACUGUUUGAAAGGUGCAAAUGCAUCACUACCAGAUGGACCUGCGUUGUAUUAGCUAGUUGGUGGGGUAACGGCUCACCAAGGCGACGAUACAUAGCCGACCUGAGAGGGUGAUCGGCCACACUGGGACUGAGACACGGCCCAGACUCCUACGGGAGGCAGCAGUAGGGAAUCUUCGGCAAUGGACGGAAGUCUGACCGAGCAACGCCGCGUGAGUGAAGAAGGUUUUCGGAUCGUAAAGCUCUGUUGUAAGAGAAGAACGAGUGUGAGAAGUGGAAAGUUUCACACU
rnacentral:rRNA from 1 species